rnacentral:lncRNA from 1 species
UGCAGCUUUAGGAAAUAUUAAUUUAUUUAUUUAUUCAUGAAAUGCUCAUUUAUACCCUUGGGGGUUGAAGGCAUAUACAAACAAUACAAUACAAUAUACACAAUGGAAAAUUAACAUAUUAAACAUCAUAUAUAAAGUGGUAAAACAGUAAUAUUUAUGCAGGCGUUGUGUCCACUCCCCUCAGUGCAAAUGACUUUUUAAUGAACGGAACAGUAAGCUGCAUAAUAUCGAAUGAAGAUAGAAUUAAUUGUAAUCUAUCUGUUUCAGACAAUUUAAAGUAUUCUGGACAUAUAUUAUCUUUUUCAAGCUGAUUACGUAAAGAUUUAUUAAUUUUACAUUCUAAGAAAAAGUGGGUUUCAUCUUCAACCGCAUUUAUAUUACAAUGUUUACAUAUUCUAUUUUCUCUUUGAAUUCUUUUAUAUCUACCUCUCUCUAUUUCCAAGAAAUGGUCACUUACUCGCAUUUUACAUAAUAAUUUUCUAUUUUCAAAACUAUUUUUAGAAAUGUAUUUGUCUAUUUUAUAUUUUGUUUUUAUUUUACUGUACAAGAAUAUUUUACUGGUUUCAUC